rnacentral:rRNA from 1 species
UACGUAGGGGGCAAGCGUUGUCCGGAAUUAUUGGGCGUAAAGCGCGUGUAGGCGGCUCGGUAAGUCUGCUGUGAAAGUCCAGGGCUCAACCCUGGAAAGCCGGUGGAUACUGUCGAGCUCGAGUCCGGAAGAGGCGAGUGGAAUUCCUGGUGUAGCGGUGAAAUGCGCAGAUAUCAGGAGGAACACCAAUGGCGAAGGCAGCUCGCUGGGACGGUACUGACGCUGAGACGCGAAAAGCGUGGGGAGCAAACAGG